UGGGUGAGUAACACGUGGGUAACCUGCCCUAAAGUCUGGGAUACCACUUGGAAACAGGUGCUAAUACCGGAUAACAACAAUAGCUGCAUGGCUAUUGCUUAAAAGGCGGCGAAAGCUGUCGCUAAAGGAUGGACCCGCGGUGCAUUAGCUAGUUGGUAAGGUAAUGGCUUACCAAGGCGACGAUGCAUAGCCGAGUUAAGAGACUGAUCGGCCACAUUGGGACUGAGACACGGCCCAAACUCCUACGGGAGGCAGCAG
rnacentral:rRNA from 1 species